rnacentral:rRNA from 1 species
GGUAGUCUCGCACAGAUGCAUAUCAAUAAGCGGAGGAAAAGAAACUAACUAGGAUUCCCUCAGUAACGGCGAGUGAAGCGGGAAGAGCUCAAAUUUGAAAUCUUCAAGGUUCUACCUUGACGAAUUGUAGUUUAAAGAAGUGUUUUCUGUUGGAGUUUUGGUAAAAGUUCUUUGGAAUAGGACAUCAUAGAGGGUGAGAAUCCCGUAUUUGACCAUUAUUUCCAGCUUUGUGAUACACUUUCAAAGAGUCGGAUUGUUUGGGAAUGCAGUCCAAAAUGGGUGGUAAAUUUCAUCUAAAGCUAAAUACUGGCGAGAGACCGAUAGCGAACAAGUACCGUGAGGGAAAGAUGAAAAGAACUUUGAAAAGAGAGUUAAACAGUACGUGAAAUUGUCAAAAGGGAAGCGUUUGACACCAGUGUUGUUUUCUCGAAAAUCAAUUAAAAAAGGCAGGAUUUUGUGUUGUAUUGACUUUAUCAGCUUUCUGCACUCUUUUCUUGUCUUUUUUUAAUGCACUUUUCGUUUAACAAGUCAACAUCAAUUUCCUUUGUUGUAAAAGGGUCAUUGGAAGGUGGCUUUCUUUUCGGAGAAAGUGUUUAUAGCCUUUGGCCUCUGCAAUCGGAGAGAUUGAGGUCUGCAGCGUAGAUCCUUCGGGGUUAGAUACAUUUGUGCUAAGUUAUAGCCUUUCAUAGACAACUUGUUGACUAUGAUCAGUCCAUGUAGCUUACUCGCUUAUGCUAUUUUACCUACGCUUAGGAUGUUGAAGUCAUCGUAUCGCGC